rnacentral:rRNA from 1 species
ACGGUGGGUGCAAGCGUUAUUCGGAAUCAUUGGGCGUAAAGGGCACGCAGGCGGCUUGGUAAGUCAGAUGUGAAAGCCCGGGGCUUAACCCCGGAAGUGCAUUUGAAACUACCAGGCUUGAGUAUGGGAGAGGGAAGUGGAAUUCCUGGUGUAGAGGUGAAAUUCGUAGAUAUCAGGAGGAACACCGGUGGCGAAGGCGACUUCCUGGACCAAUACUGACGCUGAGGUGCGAAGGCGUGGGGAGCAAACAGG